rnacentral:lncRNA from 1 species
GUAGGUCUCGAGUUCGAGACUUGGGAACAGCCUCUUCAUAAAUGGGGGUAAGGCUAGCCGACAUUCACCUCUCCUAGACCCUGCGUAAAGCGGGAGCCUUGUGCACUGGGUACGACCUUAAUUGUGGAUGGAUUGAGUCAGUGUUUUAAAAAAUUCAAUACCAUAAGUGGAAUUCAUUAUAGAUUUUUGCACCUUCAGAAGAGAUCUCAAAGGGAAGGUAUAUUGAAUUACAGAAAUUGAUUCCCGUGUACCUCUUGCUGCUCCAAGGCAAGAAAGAUAGAGGAACGAAUUCAAGACAGUCAUUUGUGGACGGAAAUAGCAUGGUUUUCUAGGGUUAACUUUAAGCCAGAGAUAUCCUUUAGUUUUAUGUUAGAGUAUCUUUUCUGAGCACAACUUGAGCUACCAAUCUGAAUUAUAUGCCUAUGUUUCAGUACAAUAGGUUACUUUUUAGGAUCUAAAUUUUAAACGAAUAUCUUUUCAUUACUUAAAAGGUGCUUCACUGCUACAGAUAUGGAGUUGCUGCUAUCUCCCCAUUUUCUCAUCGUUUGGCCUUUGACAACUUGCCUCAAAACAUACAGCGCGUAAGUUGUAAAGUCAACUUUCAAGCUUUAGCCUUUGUUCCUCAUAUCAGGGAAUUGGGAGAAACCCUUGUUAAUCGUCUCCGCUACCCUCCCAAUGGAAACCCCAAAGGAGGUAGUGACUCACAGGACAAGGCAAAUGAAAUUGAGAAACAAGGAGCUGGGAAAUAUGUUGUUUUGCAUCUUCGCUUCAAUAAAGUAUGUUUUUAAUUAGCUUUAGAUCCUUGGCAUGUUUGAUUAUGUAAUCUGUUGAUGCACAAAAUCAGUGAGGACUUUGGUACAACAGAAAGUGUUAAGUUUGUGACCUUCGCUAGAUUGUUCCGGUCACUAGUGUGGAUAAGUAUGUAAAUGGAUAGGGACAGAGAAGCAAACACAAGAUGUACGUGGUUCACCCAGAUUGGCUACGUCCAUGGAGUAGAGGAGUUCUCAUUAAUUGUGAAGGGUUUACACAAGUACAUAUGUUCAAGCUCUCUUUUAGUAAGUACUAGUGAAUGAUUUAGUACAAAUGACAUUAGGCAAUAUUGUGGGAGAAUGAUCUCCUUUUAUAGAAGAGUUUCUAGCUUUGUUCUGACAUUGACACGUGUCGUGUUGUAAUUGGCUUCUGAUGUUGACACGUGUCGCGCUGUGAUUGGCUUCUGAUGUCGACACGUGUCGCACUGUGAUUGGCCUCCUGGUUGGAGGGAAACUGUUGUGGGUCCUUGACGGUAUAACAUUGAUCAGUGCUCAGUAGUUUCGGGAUUGGUCAAGUAUGGUACAAACAUAAUCAUUUCGGAGUCUUGGGGCUAAUAUAAGUUUUAAGAAAUAUAUACUGUACAAAAUAAUUUUUGAAGAAUCUUAAAGCUUUUUCUAAGAAUCUUAAUUACAUCUGCGGGAUUAGUAUUUCCUAAUAACUUCUUUGCCUGCACAUACACACAGGACAUAGCUGCUCAUUCAGCGUGUGAUUUUGGUGGAGGUAAAGCUGAGAAACUCGCCCUUGCAAAAUAUCGGCAAGUAAUCUGGCAGGGUAGGGUCCUAAAUUCUCAGUUCACAGAUGAGGAGUUAAGAAAUCAAGGGCGUUGCCAUUGACUCCUGAAGAGAUUGGAUUGCUGCUGGCAGCUUUGGGCUUCAACAAUACCACCCGUCUCUAUCUUGCUUCUUACAAGGUUUGUCUUAAAAGCAGAAUGUCUUUGCUGGUAUUUAGGGUCUAAUGGCAAGGGGCUCAUUUGUAGAUGUUUUUGUUUGUAAAAUUUGGAACAUUUUAAGUUAGAUAUUCUCCUUAUCUUCAUCUCUGUCAUUUUCAUUUCCCUCUCUCUUCAAUUGAAACAAAAGCAAAAAUGUUGACAAACGAGCCCCAAGCGUUUCAUGCGAUUCCUUAGGUUCCUUCUCCAUAAAUGUUGACAGGAUUAAAAAUUGUGAGCUGACAGGAUUAAAAAUUGUUUGGGAGCAGCCUCUCCAUAAAUAGGGGUAAGGCUAGCCGACAUUCACCUCUUCCAGACUCUGCGUAAAGCGGGAGCCUUGUGCACUGAGUACGAUAGGAUUAAAAAUUGUAUCGUCAGGUGGGUCACCGGGCUUACAUGAACUUGAAGACUAUUAGACCAAACAUGGCGUUGUCGGGCAAACUUUUCGUGAAU